rnacentral:tRNA from 1 species
AAAUAAGAAGCAAAAUAUUGCAUUUAGUUUCGACCUAAAAUCUUGAUUAAUUAAUCCUUAUUUU